UUAAGCGACUAAGCGUACACGGUGGAUGCCCUGGCAGUCAGAGGCGAUGAAGGACGUGCUAAUCUGCGAAAAGCGUCGGUAAGGUGAUAUGAACCGUUAUAACCGGCGAUGUCCGAAUGGGGAAACCCAGUGUGAUUCGUCACACUAUCGUUAACUGAAUACAUAGGUUAACGAGGCGAACCGGGGGAACUGAAACAUCUAAGUACCCCGAGGAAAAGAAAUCAACCGAGAUUCCCCCAGUAGCGGCGAGCGAACGGGGAGCAGCCCAGAGUCUGAAUCAGCUUGUGUGUUAGUGGAACGGUCUGGAAAGUCCGACGGUACAGGGUGAUAGUCCCGUACACCAAAAUGCACAGGCUGUGAACUCGAAGAGUAGGGCGGGACACGUGGUAUCCUGUCUGAAUAUGGGGGGACCAUCCUCCAAGGCUAAAUACUCCUGACUGACCGAUAGUGAACCAGUACCGUGAGGGAAAGGCGAAAAGAACCCCGGCGAGGGGAGUGAAAAAGAACCUGAAACCGUGUACGUACAAGCAGUGGGAGCACCUUCGGGUGUGACUGCGUACCUUUUGUAUAAUGGGUCAGCGACUUAUAUUCUGUAGCAAGGUUAACCGUAUAGGGGAGCCGCAGGGAAACCGAGUCUUAACUGGGCGUUAAGUUGCAGGGUAUAGACCCGAAACCCGGUGAUCUAGCCAUGGGCAGGUUGAAGGUUGGGUAACACUAACUGGAGGACCGAACCGACUAAUGUUGAAAAAUUAGCGGAUGACUUGUGGCUGGGGGUGAAAGGCCAAUCAAACCGGGAGAUAGCUGGUUCUCCCCGAAAGCUAUUUAGGUAGCGCCUCGUGAACUCAUCUUCGGGGGUAGAGCACUGUUUCGGCUAGGGGGUCAUCCCGACUUACCAACCCGAUGCAAACUACGAAUACCGAAGAAUGUUAUCACGGGAGACACACGGCGGGUGCUAACGUCCGUCGUGAAGAGGGAAACAACCCAGACCGCCAGCUAAGGUCCCAAAGUCAUGGUUAAGUGGGAAACGAUGUGGGAAGGCACAGACAGCCAGGAUGUUGGCUUAGAAGCAGCCAUCAUUUAAAGAAAGCGUAAUAGCUCACUGGUCGAGUCGGCCUGCGCGGAAGAUGUAACGGGGCUAAACCAUGCACCGAAGCUGCGGCAGCGACACUAUGUGUUGUUGGGUAGGGGAGCGUUCUGUAAGCCUGCGAAGGUGUGCUGUGAGGCAUGCUGGAGGUAUCAGAAGUGCGAAUGCUGACAUAAGUAACGAUAAAGCGGGUGAAAAGCCCGCUCGCCGGAAGACCAAGGGUUCCUGUCCAACGUUAAUCGGGGCAGGGUGAGUCGACCCCUAAGGCGAGGCCGAAAGGCGUAGUCGAUGGGAAACAGGUUAAUAUUCCUGUACUUGGUGUUACUGCGAAGGGGGGACGGAGAAGGCUAUGUUAGCCGGGCGACGGUUGUCCCGGUUUAAGCAUGUAGGCUGGUUAUCCAGGCAAAUCCGGAUAAUCAAGGCUGAGGUGUGAUGACGAGGCACUACGGUGCUGAAGUAACAAAUGCCCUGCUUCCAGGAAAAGCCUCUAAGCAUCAGGUAACAUUAAAUCGUACCCCAAACCGACACAGGUGGUCAGGUAGAGAAUACCAAGGCGCUUGAGAGAACUCGGGUGAAGGAACUAGGCAAAAUGGUGCCGUAACUUCGGGAGAAGGCACGCUGGUGUGUAGGUGAAGUCCCUGCGGAUGGAGCUGAGACCAGUCGAAGAUACCAGCUGGCUGCAACUGUUUAUUAAAAACACAGCACUGUGCAAACACGAAAGUGGACGUAUACGGUGUGACGCCUGCCCGGUGCCGGAAGGUUAAUUGAUGGGGUUAUCCGUAAGGAGAAGCUCUUGAUCGAAGCCCCGGUAAACGGCGGCCGUAACUAUAACGGUCCUAAGGUAGCGAAAUUCCUUGUCGGGUAAGUUCCGACCUGCACGAAUGGCGUAAUGAUGGCCAGGCUGUCUCCACCCGAGACUCAGUGAAAUUGAACUCGCUGUGAAGAUGCAGUGUACCCGCGGCAAGACGGAAAGACCCCGUGAACCUUUACUAUAGCUUGACACUGAACAUUGAGCCUUGAUGUGUAGGAUAGGUGGGAGGCUUUGAAGCGUGGACGCCAGUCUGCGUGGAGCCAACCUUGAAAUACCACCCUUUAAUGUUUGAUGUUCUAACGUUGGCCCCUUACCGGGGUUGCGGACAGUGUCUGGUGGGUAGUUUGACUGGGGCGGUCUCCUCCCAAAGCGUAACGGAGGAGCACGAAGGUUAGCUAAUCCUGGUCGGACAUCAGGAGGUUAGUGCAAUGGCAUAAGCUAGCUUGACUGCGAGCGUGACGGCGCGAGCAGGUGCGAAAGCAGGUCAUAGUGAUCCGGUGGUUCUGAAUGGAAGGGCCAUCGCUCAACGGAUAAAAGGUACUCCGGGGAUAACAGGCUGAUACCGCCCAAGAGUUCAUAUCGACGGCGGUGUUUGGCACCUCGAUGUCGGCUCAUCACAUCCUGGGGCUGAAGUAGGUCCCAAGGGUAUGGCUGUUCGCCAUUUAAAGUGGUACGCGAGCUGGGUUUAGAACGUCGUGAGACAGUUCGGUCCCUAUCUGCCGUGGGCGCUGGAGAAUUGAGGGGGGCUGCUCCUAGUACGAGAGGACCGGAGUGGACGCAUCACUGGUGUUCGGGUUGUCAUGCCAAUGGCACUGCCCGGUAGCUAAAUGCGGAAGAGAUAAGUGCUGAAAGCAUCUAAGCACGAAACUUGCCCCGAGAUGAGUUCUCCCUGAGACUUUAAGUCUCCUGAAGGAACGUUGAAGACGACGACGUUGAUAGGCCGGGUGUGUAAGCGCAGCGAUGCGUUGAGCUAACCGGUACUAAUGAACCGUGAGGCUUAACCUU
rnacentral:rRNA from 1 species